rnacentral:lncRNA from 1 species
UUAUUGGUGAGCCAUCUGUCGUCUUUUUCAUAUGUGGAAGCUAAGGAGGAGGUUGGAACUCCGUUCCAAGCUCUCUAUAUUGUUGAAGUGAAAAAAACUGGGGCACCCAUGUCCUCUUUCAAAGAUGCGCGGAAAAUUAUUGAAGAUGGCAGUUCAGAUCAGUGGGGCCGUAUGGUAGAGGUCGCCGAGAACAAGAACAAAGUCGGAUUAGGAUUUCACAGAGGGUCGUCUAAUGUCAAAGAUGAAGGUAUGCAACCGAG